CACGUAGGGGGCGAGCGUUGUCCGGAUUUAUUGGGCGUAAAGAGCUCGUAGGCGGUUCGGUAAGUCGGGUGUGAAACCUCCAGGCUCAACCUGGAGUCGCCACUCGAUACUGCUGUGACUAGAGUCCGGUAGGGGGGCGUGGAAUUCCUGGUGUAGCGGUGAAAUGCGCAGAUAUCAGGAGGAACACCAGCGGCGAAGGCGGCGCUCUGGGCCGGAACUGACGCUGAGGAGCGAAAGCGUGGGUAGCAAACAGG
rnacentral:rRNA from 1 species